GUAUGUUCUAUGCACUUCCCUGAUGGAAGACCAACAGCCCAAAACCCGUAUCCAGUAUUGCACAUGAAGCAUGAUGUACAUGAUAGCGUUAGCACAAAGAAAAACACAGAACAAUCCGUGGGAAUGGUUCAGGAAUUCUGCACCGCAAUGGGACGAGACCCACAGUUUCAGACGUUACCAGUGACAGAACUGGACAACUUGCUGGAAGAAUUCUUUGGCAGUGUCAACAAAAAAGAUGACACUUCCUAUCACCGGAAUGGCCUGUUGAGUAUUCACUUUGGCAUUGCCAGAUAUCUGAGGAAACACAGAGACAUUGACGUCACAUCAGAUCUGAACUUUAUGAAAUCGGACACCGCAUAUAAAGCCAGGCAAGCGGAGAUGAGGAAAUCUGGGUGUUGUGUGACAAGGUUAAUCAUUACCCUCCCCUGGAAAAGGAUGACAUCCGCAAGAUUUACUGCAACUUUGAUCUGACACAUCCAGUGAACCUUUGCCAAAAGGUGCUGUUUGAUGUCAUGUUUUUCUUGUGCCGACACGGAAGAGAAAAUCUUCGGGACAUGACCAAAGAUCACUUCAUUGUGGACGGAAUAUCUUUAGGGCAAUGAUGCGUGCGUCAAGUUGUUGACAAAUGUGACAAAAACAACUCCUGCCUAAAUAACCCAGAGCCCAACUCUACUGAUGCAAUCAUGCUUGAGAGACCAGACAGCUCAGUCUGCCUUGUUGUGAGCUUUGAAUUGUACCUGGGGAAGCUCCAUCCUCAGUGUAAAUGACUUUGACAACGUGAGCACCCUGCGGUAAAGGGAAAUGACCAAGUAUGGUACGUCAAUGCCCCACUUGGAAAGAACACCCUGGCUGCACUGAUGCCUGGCCUCUCUCUUAUCUGUGGACUGUCCAAAACAUACACAAAUCACUCCAUUCAUUCCACGUCAGUGAUGAUGUUUGAUGAAGCAAGCUUCAAGGACAGACACAUCAUGAAGGUGAGCGGCCACAUAUCCCAGCAGAGGAUUAGGACAUACCGUAUGCUGGUUGUGUAAGAGACUCAACAGAGGGUUAAAUGCACUGAGCAAAGCAGUUUUUGACACAAGGCAAGGGGUACAACUUCCAGCUCAGUUUCACCCCUCUCCAAGAGGCCUCUGUUACAGAAAUAAGUGCUUCCCUCUCUCCUCCGAGCAUUCCAGUAAGACAGGAUCACCUGCAAGCAGCCAUUGAAGAUGAAGAUGCAUCUCUCACCAUGUUGACAGACUCACAAGCGGAUCAGGCCCUGCAGUCAUUACUUUCUGGCGCUUUCAAUCAGUUGGCAGAAAACCUGGUGCAUUCACCGUACUUCAACCAAGCAAUACAUCGUCAGUGGAUGCAAGAUUUCAUUCUAAACAUGAACAACUCAACAGUGAACUUCACAAUCAAUAAAAAAUUUUCUAUUUAAAUGUAAUCUCUGAAGCUCAGUAAAUAAGAUUAGUUUAUUUCCUGCUAAGUUGUUUGCAUUUUUCAACUUAACACCACGGACCCCAUCACGGCAGGCAUUUGUACCCAUAUACUGUACACCAUUGCUGGAUGCCUCAGUGUAUGAAUGACCUUCUCAUUUUAUUUUAUACACUCAUUAUGGAUGGUCAGGAAUAGAAAAAUCAAAAUUUACAACUGUUUGACCCAGUCGCCUCGAGCAGGAUCAAGAGAGGGCACAAUUUUCCUAGCAACAGAAGCUCCUCAACACUUUGUUAGUCCACAAGUGACUGUGAAAUUCACGCAUAAUGGUGGCUUCACUGCCAACAAAAUGAACACUUCCCAUCGGCAUGGCUCUUUUCAACUGUUGAGGGUGAGAGGGUGCUUCCGCUCAAUGCAGAUAUGUGCGUGCAUAUAACUAUUUGACAUGGCACAGUGUCACAGUUUAUUUUUUUUAACUGGUCACCAUCUGUUGUACCCUACAUCAGUAAAAAUUUCAGGAAAAACAUCCUUCACAUUCAAGAAAAAACUUCCCCGACCACAAGCAACUCAAGUGAACAGAAUUACUUCUCCUGAAAUAAAUUUGUGUUUAGUUUCAUUUGCUUGUACUGGUACUAUUUAUGUGUUGUUUAAAUUUUGUGUUAGGUUACACCCUCCGCAAAGGUCAGUGCAGCCACCGAUACCAAAUCCCUAAGCUCAGUAUAUGCUACCGGUACAACUGUGAACUUUGCCCACA
rnacentral:misc_RNA from 1 species